rnacentral:rRNA from 1 species
GACGAACGCUGGCGGCGUGCUUAACACAUGCAAGUCGAACGGAAAGGCCCUGCUUUUGUGGGGUGCUCGAGUGGCGAACGGGUGAGUAACACGUGAGUAACCUGCCCUUGACUUUGGGAUAACUUCAGGAAACUGGGGCUAAUACCGGAUAGGAGCUCCUGCUGCAUGGUGGGGGUUGGAAAGUUUCGGCGGUUGGGGAUGGACUCGCGGCUUAUCAGCUGGUUGGUGGGGUAGUGGCGUACCAAGGCUUUGACGGGUAGCCGGCCUGAGAGGGUGACCGGCCUCAUUGGGCCUGCGAUACGGCCCAGACUCCUACCGGAGGCAGCAGUGGGGAAUAUUGCACAAUGGGCGGACGCCUGAUGCAGCAACGCCGCGUGCGGGAUGACGGCCUUCGGGUUGUAAACCACUUUCGCCUGUAACGAAGCGUGCGUGACGGUAAUGGGUAAAGAAGCCCCGGCUAACUACGUG